rnacentral:misc_RNA from 1 species
AAAAAGAAAUUCGUUUUUAAACGCCCACACGAGUAACUAAAUAUUAUAAAAACAAAUUGUUUUGUAAAAAUAAUUGGUAUGUAAUUUUCUAGUGUAUAUAAAUUUAUAUACAUAAGAUCACUGCAAUUAAAAAGUAAUUAAUAAUAUUUUAUUAAGUUACUCUCAAAAAAAAUAACCUUUUUU